AUCAGGGUUCGAUUCCGGAGAGGGAGCCUGAGAAACGGCUACCACAUCUAAGGAAGGCAGCAGGCGCGUAAAUUACCCACUCCCAGCUCGGGGAGGUAGUGACGAAAAAUAACAAUACAGGACUCAUAUCCGAGGCCCUGCAAUUGGAAUGAGUACACUUUAAAUCCUUUAACAAGGACCAAUUGGAGGGCAAGUCUGGUGCCAGCAGCCGCGGUAAUUCCAGCUCCAAUAGCGUAUAUUAAAGUUGUUGCGGUUAAAACGUUCGUAGUUGAACUUGUGCUUCAUACGGGUAGUACAACAUACAUUUGUAGUUAGUACUAUACCUUUAUGUAUGUAAGCGUAUUAUCGGUGGAGUUCUUAUAUGUAAUUGAGUACUUGUACUUUUUUAUAUAUUCCUCCUAUUUAAAAACCUACAUUAGUGCUCUUAAUCGAGUGUUUUUGUGGGCCGGUACAAUUACUUUGAACAAAUUAAAGCAGGCUUCAAAUGCCUGAAUAUUCUGUGCAUGGGAUAAUGAAAUAAGACCUCUGUUCUGCUUUCAUUGGUUUUCAGAUCAAGAGGUAAUGAUUAAUAGAAGCAGUUUGGGGGCAUAAGUAUUACGACGCGAGAGGUGAAAUUCUUGGACCGUCGUAAGACUAACUUAAGCGAAAGCAUUUGCCAAAGAUGUUUUCAUUAAUCAAGAACGAAAGUUAGAGGUUCGAAGGCGAUCAGAUACCGCCCUAGUUCUAACCAUAAACGAUGCCAGCUAGCAAUUGGGUGUAGCUACUUUUAUGGCUCUCUCAGUCGCUUCCCGGGAAACCAAAGCUUUUGGGCUGGGGGAAGUAUGGUUGCAAAGCUGAAACUUAAAGGAAUUGACGGAAGGGCACGACCAGGAGUGGAGCCUGCGGCUUAAUUUGACUCAACACGGGAAAACUUACCAGGUCCGAACAUAAGUGUGUAAGACAGAUUGAUAGCUCUUUCUCGAAUCUAUGGGUGGUGGUGCAUGGCCGUUCUUAGUUCGUGGAGUGAUUUGUCUGGUUAAUUCCGAUAACGAACGAGACUCAAAUAUAUUAAAUACAUAUCUUCAGGAUUAUGGUGUUGAAGCUUAUAUUGCCUUCAUUCAUGGUAGCAGUAAAAUGUUUAUUGUGUUUGAAUGUGUUUAUAUAAGUGGAGCCGUACCUGUUGGUUUGUCCCAUUAUAAGGACACUAGCUUCUUAAAUGGACAAAUUGCGUCUAGCAAUAUGGAGAUUGAGCAAUAACAGGUCUGUGAUGCCC
rfam:Drosophila willistoni strain TSC#14030-0811.24 scf2_1100000007327 genomic scaffold, whole genome shotgun sequence.